CCCAUCAAUAACCCCAAAAUCACGAACAUCAAACAAAUAAACCAUUCUCCCCCCUUAGUAUAGGCGACAGAAAAGGGACCCUGGAGCUAUAGAAAAAGUACCGCAAGGGAAAGCUGAAAG
rnacentral:rRNA from 1 species